GGCGUCUGCGGGUGCUUGGAGUUUUCGGGAGCCGGGGCGAGUAGGAGCCACCGGGUGGCCGGGGCGGGGGCGGGGGCAGGGACGCCCGCUUCCACUCAACCAGCUCGGAUUACACCCCCGCCGCCGGGAGGGGAAGGAAGUUGCUGGGCGGAAGGUGAACAACCCAGGCCGCUUCCUCAAGGCCCAGGUGGGGACCAGGCUCAGGCCAAGUCCACGUUCAGGGGCCAAGUCGCGUGCCGGGCGCUGGAGGCAGGUGAAGGGAAGAGAUAGGAGAUCGGCUUCAGGUGUGGAAGAAGAGGUUUAAAUCCCACCUCGCAGGGUGCUGCAUGCCUAUCCCAGCCCUCUGGGAGGCUGAGGCAGGAGGAUCAAAAGGUUUAGCGAGACCCUGGCUCAAAAUUGAAAAAGGGCUGAAUGUAGCUUAGUGGGAAGGCCCUGGGUUCAGUCCCCGCGGCAGAGACAGGAACAGAUUGAAACUGAAAUUCGUUUUGGGAGAUUCGGUGGAACUAUCUGGGAGAUUCUGAGGGCAGGUGAGUGGGGUUUGGAGACUUGGCUAGCGAGUUAGAGGUGCUGGAAGAGUCCAGGAAACCAGAAGUACCGGGGUGUGUACAUGGAAGGGCAGCCUGGGAAGGGGAUGAGGGCCACAUUCAAGGCCAGGGGUAAAGGGCUGCUGGGUGGGAGCACGCUGUUGAGUGGAAGUGGCCUUCAGCUCCAGGUGGAGGUGGAGGAUACACCGGGAGGGAGGAGAGGCCCAGGACACCCGUGCUGGGGCCUGGAGGAAAGCAGCGCUUGCUUCUGCAGGAAGGCGGAGAGCCCUGCUGGUGGAGCAGAGAGCUGAAGCUGAGGACCAGGCUGGGGCAGGACGAAUAGCCAAACUGAGGUCAGCCUGGCACUGAGUCCCAGACUUGCUACGGGACGGGAAUCGCCGUCGGAAGACCCCUGACGUGUUCUCUCCUGUCCUGAGUCCAUGGCAGCGCCCCAGCCUGCAGCUCCCAGUGCCCGGCCAGCCCCUUCCGACCCCGCUGGCUGUGUCAGGCAGGUGCAGUCACUGUAGUACCAGAGAUCGAACUCAGGACCUUGAGGAGCAGGCAUCAGAACCACUGAGCUAAGUCCCCACCCUUGUCCUGCUUAGUUUUAAACACAUAAUUGGACAUCUCUCAGACGGCUGUCCUGGCUGGGACUCUUAGUGAGGACAGGCAGUUCGGAUCCUGAGACGGGGAGCAGGCGCGGCGCGGCCACUCUCCCACCGGAGCCCUGGUCCAGACUCGGACCGCUAGGCCACCCUGUGCCCAUGGACAGCACCAGCCUCGCACAGCACAAGUGUGUCAGGCUCCUGGCACACCUGUCACCCCCUCCCCGGUUCUCAAGUCCUGUGUGCCUGGCCGUGGGCCCAGGUCACCGUCCCUGAGCUCUGGUGACAGCUGCGCCUGACACCAGCUGACCAAGUCCCGGUCUACCGUCCCCACCAGGGCCUGGAUUCCUAGUCUCCUCUGGCAGGGCUGGCCCUGUGCCCCAGGUGGCUGAGGUCCUGAGGCCACACCUCCCACGGCAUCUCGGGCGCAGGUCUUUGUCCGGGCACAGGCGGGGGGCGGGUGCCCGUUUUCGGGACGGCAUAGGCUCUGUGGUCACCUGGCUGGCCAGGGCCGCGCGCCAAAACCACUCAGCCGAAGCCUCUCCCCGCGCCUGGGCGGAGCAGGGCCGGAGGCCUGGGCGUGGCCAGGUCACAAGCUACCUCCCCCCACCCCACCCGCGACUCCCAGCUUCCACCGGAAGGAAGUAGGGGCGAGGCUGGAGCACACCCUUCCCACUUUGCUGAUGAAGACAGGCCCAGCUGGGAACCAGCCCUCCCCAUUGUUUUGGUUUUGAGACUGGGCUUCACUACGUAGGUAGUGCAGGCUGGCCUCAAACACGUGAUCCUCCUGCCUCAGCCUCCUGAAUGAUGGGUCACAGGCAUGCGCCACCAGGCCUGGCUUCUCUUUGAAUCUUCAUCGUGGGCACAAUCGUUACUCCCGUGGUCUGGCCAUGCUGGGCGGUGAUGUGGGACACAUGAGGCUUGGCAGCCUGGUGGCCCUCCUUUCCAAGGCCCUUUAAAACUCCAGGUCUGUAAUACCACUACUUGGAGGCUGAGGCAAGCAGAUCCAAGUCCCAGCCCAGCUUGGGCAAAUUAGUGACUUAGCCAGACCCUGUCAAAAAAUACAAAAUGAAAAAUGUAAAGGGGCUGGGGAUGCAGCUCAGUGCAAAGUCCCUGGGUCCAACCUCAGUCCCACAAUGAAAAGGAGGCGGCUGAGCGGGCCUGCAGGUCUGAGUCACAGCACGUCUCUCCUCCCUGCGGCUGUCCGGGAAAGGGAAGGCGGGCGAGUGUCCAGACUUCUGCUGUGUGUCCUUGCUGUUGACCUCCCGCCGUGUUAGGGCGUCCUACCCUGGGGACACUCAGCGCCCGAAUGCCCUGACUCAGCGUCAAGCGCCAGAGGCCCCGAUGUUGCGAGGCCCGCUAGGGGGCGCUGCGCGCCUGCGUCAGCCCGCGCGGUUCUGGCGGACCUGGGGCCUUCGGACCCACUGUCCCCGGACGCGGCACGCAGCCCUCCCUGGACGCGGGGACCGGAUCCCAGGGUGGCCUGGCCGGUCAGGGUUGGGCACUGAGAACCAGGAAUCACGCGUGGCCAAGGCCGCCUGACACAGAGGUCACAUGGCGACAUCCCCAGCUGGGCCAGUCCGGACUGUAAUAUUUCUGGUUCUUAUUUUAUUUAUUUAGGUACAGAGGGCCAGGGGUUUAGCUCAGUGGUUUCGCCGCCUACUGCGCAAGCGCAAGGACCCGAGUUCGAUCCCUGGUACCAAAUAAAUAAAUAAAUAAAUAAAUAAAAAACCAUGAUAUUUAGGUACCAACGAUCGAACUCCGGAGCUUGCGCUUGCAAGGGAGACGGAGGCACCACUGAGCUGAAUCCCUGGCCCUAUUUAUUUUU